rnacentral:rRNA from 1 species
GACAGAGGUGGCGAGCGUUAUCCGGAUUGACUGGGCGUAAAGGGCGUGUAGGCGGUUCUAUAAGUCGGUCGUGAAAGGCGUCGGCUCAACCGAAGCAGUGCGACCGAGACUGUAGGGCUUGGAGCGCGGAAGAGGAAAGGGGAAUUCCCGGUGUAGCAGUGAAAUGCGUAGAUAUCGGAAGGAACAUCGGUGGCGAAAGCGACUUCCUGGACCAGUACCGACGUUCAGGCACGAAAGCGUGGGGAGCAAACAGG